ACGGGGGGUCCUAGCGUUGUUCGGAAUUAUUGGGCGUAAAGCGUGUGCAGGCGGUUCCUUAAGUCAGAUGUGAAAGCCCCGGGCUUAACCUGGGAACUGCGUUUGAAACUGGGGAGCUGGAGUGUAGAAGAGGGGGGUGGAAUUCCAGGUGUAGCAGUGAAAUGCGUAGAGAUCUGGAGGAACACCGAUGGCGAAGGCAGCCCCCUGGGCUAACACUGACGCUCAUGCACGAAAGCGUGGGGAGCAAACAGG
rnacentral:rRNA from 1 species